CAGCAGCCGCGGUAAAACGUAGGGAGCAAGCGUUGUUCGGAUUUACUGGGCGUAAAGGGCGCGUAGGCGGCGCGGUAAGUCACUUGUGAAAUCUCUGAGCUUAACUCAGAACGGCCAAGUGAUACUGCUGUGCUAGAGUGCGGAAGAGGCAACCGGAAUUCUUGGUGUAGCGGUGAAAUGCGUAGAUAUCAAGAGGAACACCUGAGGCGAAGGCGGGUUGCUGGGCCGACACUGACGCUGAUGCGCGAAAGCCAGGGGAGCAAACGGGAUUAGAUACCCCGGUAGUCCCUGUCUCUUAUAC
rnacentral:rRNA from 1 species